rnacentral:rRNA from 1 species
CUGCGAUGCGGGUGAAGAGCCGGGGGAAAACGAAGGGGGCAAACGUGUCUUGGAAUUAUUGGGCCGCAAGCACAAGUAUGCGGCUUUGAAAGUCGGAUGUGAAAGCCCACUGCUUAACCAAGGAAGUGCAUCCGAAACUGCAGGGCUUGAGUACGAAAGAGGAUGGCGGAAUUCCGGGGGUAGAGGUGAAAUUCGUAGAUAUCGGGAGGAACACCAGUGGCGAAGGCGGCGAUCUGGGUCGAUACUGACGCUGAGGUGCGAAAGCGUGGGGAGCAAACAGGAUUAGAUACCCCAUUAGUC